UCGGUUGGUGGAGAGUGGCGCACGGGUGAGUAAUACAUGGAAAUCUACCUUUCACUGGGGGAUAACAGUUAGAAAUGACUGCUAAUACCGCAUACGCCAUAUUGGGAAACCUACGGGGGUGAAAGAUGAGUCCAUGCUUGAUUAGCUAGUUGGUAGGGUAAAGGCCUACCAAGGCAACGAUCAAUAGCGGGUUUGAGAGGAUGAUCCGCCACACUGGUACUGAGACACGGACCAGACUCC
rnacentral:rRNA from 1 species